rnacentral:rRNA from 1 species
AUUGAACGCUGGCGGCAGGCCUAACACAUGCAAGUCGAACGAGUGGCGGACGUGUGAGUAAUUUCUGGGAAACUGCCUGAUGGAGGGGGAUAACUACUGGAAACGGUAGCUAAUAACGCAUACCAUCAGAUGUUCCCAGAUGGGAUUGGCUAGUUUGUGGGGUAACGGCUCACCAAGACGAUGAUCCAUAGCUGGUCUGAGAGGAUGACCGGCCAAACUGGAACUGAGACACGGCCCAGACUCCUACGGGAGGCAGCAGUGGGGAAUAUUGCACAAUGGGCGCAAGCCUGAUGCAGCCAUGCCGCGUGUGUGAAGAAGGCCUUCGGGUUGUAAAGUACUUUCAGCGGGGAGGCGUUACCCGCAGAAGAAGCACCGGCUAACUCCGUGCCAGCAGCCGCGGUAAUAC